rnacentral:rRNA from 1 species
UACGGAGGGUGCGAGCGUUGUUCGGAAUCACUGGGCGUAAAGCGCGCGUAGGCGGUCUGCUAAGUCUGAUGUGAAAGCCCGGGGCUCACCCCCGGAAGUGCAUUGGAAACUGACAGACUGGAGUCCCGGAGAGGAGGGUGGAAUUCCUGGUGUAGCGGUGGAAUGCGUAGAUAUCAGGAGGAACACCGGUGGCGAAGGCGGCCCUCUGGACGGUGACUGACGCUGAGGCGCGAAAGCGUGGGGAGCAAACAGG